CCGUAACAUGUUUUUCAAGUUUUUUAGAACUUUGGAGGAACUCGAAACAAAUUGAGAGCAUACGCUUUCUAAGAGUUGAAAAGUAUUAUUUUCGAAGCACGGGCAGUCGGGCACGGGCAUCAGAGCAUCUCCGUUGCCAGUCGCUCGAAGCGAAGAGAAAUCACGCACUUCCUCUGCUACCGAAGCGAAGGCAGGAACAAGAACAACAGCGACGAGACACAGCCAGAAAUUCGGCAUAGUAUUUGCUCAGGGCUAGAUUCCACUGUAUUCGCUGUAAUCUGGUAAAGCAUGUCGCAUGUGCCCAGACUACAGGAGGAUUUCAAGACAAGUAUCCAGUCCUGUCUUAUUUACAACAGAUAGCGUGCAAAACUAUGCUCAAGAAUCAAGAUAGAUAAAUAACACUGGAUUUCCCCAGUACUUGCUACUUCACCGAACUACGGAGUACAACUGGUAAAGAAUAGUUUCACAAGUCGGAUCCUGAGAUCACAAUGAAAGAGAAGAUACAACAGGGAGUAUUAAAUCUGCACAUGAUCACAAGGAAAUCCAGAUGCACAUGAAUCCAGACAAUAGGAAGAACAGGGAACAGUUUGACAUAUUUUUUCUAAUAAAACAGAAGGUCAGAGUUGCAUGCCUACAUUGUCAACAAAAUAAUAGAUGAAUUGCACGAACAUACCUCAACGACUCAAUGUCAACAUGGAUUUACACUAACAAUUUUUAGUCUUUGACCUUUCAUACUCUUCAGAAUUAAUUAUUACCAGACUAAAAACUACAAUGCACCUAAGAACACGAGCUUUCGCUUCAGAAUAUCCCAAGGAUGGUGGGGGCAGGUGGAGCACGCCAUCAUUGGAGAGCAAGAGCAACGCCAUGUCAUUAACUGAUCAUCUUCAAAUGAUAAUCUGUAGAAGAGACAAUGGACAAGAGUCAAUUGAUCGCUUCACCAAACAGUAACAUUACAAAUUUGCUAUACAGGCUCCAAACAAACUGAUUUUCUAUCAGUCUACGCUUAAACAUAGCAGUUAACAGGGGCAAAGCUUAACACAGGCCCAUCAGCAAUCAUGCAGAGAACAAGGCAAGGCAGAUCAUCCAUGGGAAUCACACAACAAUCCACAAGGAAGCAUGCAUUACAUUCUUUGGAAAGCCAAUCAAGAGAAAUCUGGGUUCAGCGAUCGGAAAGAUUUACAAUGGAUAAGAUAUGUCAAAAUUUCAGUACUGGAAACUUCAGUUACAAAGCAAUUUGAUAAAUCUUACAUGCCAAGACAAGUAUAGAAGAUAUAUCUUUAUAUAAUAAUACUGACUCGUAAUUGUUAGGCUUACAGCAAAAAAAAGGUUAAGUUUCAUUAAACAAGCUUAUUUAUCGGUCUCUGAGGAGCUGGGUUACCUGUAGAUAAAUGGGACCAGAAACUAAGAGGUUACCUGUUGACUCAAGCUUAUGCUUAUUUUGGCGAUACACGUACUCUUAGGCUGGACAUAAUUCACCCUAACGAUUCUCACUAAGACAUGAGAAAGGAAUUCUAGUACGGAAAGGAAGUGAAAACCAGCGCAUGUGCAUCCAAGUGACUCCUAGUGAAACAGCACAGAGAGUGUCCCAGAUCGAUUUUAACUCUGAGUCACCAAGUGGUUCGUCGGUAUCAAUUUGAUCCUAACAGAUUCCAGGCAAUACCAUCAUAUGUCACCCAGUCAUGAUUUCCAGGAAAAGAAUAUAAGUAUUUUCAUCAUACAGACAGAAUUGAAGAAAAACUAUUAUUAGACCAUACAUUAUGGUCUUUCAUUUGUCAUGACAAAAAUGUACUCCCUCCGAUCCAUAAAAGGUGACGCCCAUUUUGUACUAAGUUAGCACAAAUUUUGUACUAGGUGGGCGACACAUUUUAUGGAUCGGAGGGAGUAAUAAGAAACACUAAAAGCUCAAGAUAGAAACUAUGAUUAGUUAGUUCAAUCUUUUAAUAACACCUAUGACAUAACAGAGCUGCACAAUUAUAAUUCUGUAAAUUUUAUCACACCCAAAAACCCAGAGAACCAAACGAUAAGAUACAUAAGUACUUAAAUCUACAAUCAUAACGAGAUGGUCAACAUAUCUCAUCAAUGCACAAAAUUAAAUAGAAAAACACACGACGAAAACAUCCACCAAACAUUAUCUACUGAAGACACAAAAUAUAAAUAGAAUCUCACAAAGCCUACACCAGGAUAGAUCUUAUAUGUGAAUAUCAAUGCUCAACAGGACCGAAAGCCUUAUUUAUGAAGGUUAUCGCACAUUUGGGCUAAGGCCAUUGUAACAUAAAAUAGUCCAAAAUGCACAACAUAUGGGGUGGUCGGACUUCGGCAACGAAACUUCAGACAUACUCGCUAGAUUUUCCGAAGCAACAGUAUCUAAACUUUUUUGUUGCUAAUCCUCCGCAGCAACUCGAGCCAAUUGUUUACCAAGAUCCUUAUCGAGAUUAGCUAGAUUAUUAAACCUUGACUGUAGAUAAACGGACAUGUAUGUAACAUAUUGCUCAGAACAAUCAAGUCGGGCUCACCCAAGCUUGUUUACACCCAUAUGAAGGAAAGGCUUAUUGAAUUGCAUUGUCAGGAAAUCAGCACUUCCCCAAACAAACUGAAAGUACCUUUAUUCCACAACCUAUAAACAUCAAUGGAUAUACUCAGAACACAACAGCUUACAUGUGUGGACCUUCCCACCAUUAAGGCCAAACAUAGUAACAAUAAGUUCCACUUAUUAAAAUGUCAUUGUAUACAAGAAUGUCAGAUUAAAUUAUGCCUCUACACAAGCAUACCAAUCCUGUCACUAUCACUGAAAGUCUGAAACAUUAACUAACAGCCAACAUCAUGCCACAUAACUUGUAAUUUUAGCACAUCAACAUUAGCAUUACAGAAACAAUAGUAGCCACAGAUCACAUAAACGAACAAAAACAAUCUACAGCAAUGUUCUAAACUGAAAUGCUAAAACAUACUUUACCUAAAACCCUCGUCCGCAUCAGAGGUAAUUGGAGUUGGAAAGGAAAGGCAGCGCAGCAACGGAUGAAAUCAGCUCCACUCCACCAGCACCAUUGGAUGCAGCCCCUCCGCUCUUCUUCGUGCGCUUCACCCUUGCGAGCUUCACGUGCGCAUCGACGAAGUUCUCCAUGCGCUUCACCUCCAGCUGCUUCAGGAAGUCAAUUCGCUCGCGUUCCAUCUCUAGCGAAUGCUUUUGUUUCGCACUCUCCACGCGCUCAUACAUCUCUGCAAAAGCCUCAAUUGCCCUCGCCAGCUCGCUGACACCACUAUCCCCAUCACCGCCAGCCUCGCGACGAAAGGGACGCUUGUUGCUACCGCCGGAGCGCGCCGACGAGACAGAACGCGACGGUGACCUCCGCAAGUUGUCAUGGUGGUUGUUGUUGUUGUUACCACCAGGAUGAUCACCAGAGUCCUCCGAAUCAGACACCGCUGCAGCGGCGGCAGCGGCUUCCUGCUGGAUGAACGCAGCGGCAGGGAGCAGCGCCCCGCGGCGGUAGCUGGGGAGGGGCAGAGCCAUGGGCGGGGGCGGGGACGGCGAGGAAGAAGGCGACGGGUACUUCCUCGCGGCGGUAGAAGAAGGAUGGACGGGCAGGGCGAGGUGCGGGGCCAUCGCCGGCGAGGGCCGCUUGUUGGCGGCGGAGUUGAGGGUGGGGCCGACGAGUCGGUCGAGCUCGUCGAAGAAGCUCCAGCCCGACGGCGCGCCGCGGACGCGCUCGGCCUUGUACUUCUUCUUGAGGGUGUCGACGCGGUUCUUGCACUGCACGUCGGUGCGCGGCGGGCGGCGGCGCGCGGCGGCCCCGCGGCGCGAGUUGACGGCGUUGGCCACCUCCUGCCACUGCUUCUGGCGCAGGUUGCCGCGGUUGAGCUCCACGUAGCGGCUGCCCCACGCGUCCACCAGCGCCGCCGUCUCGCCCUCGCUCCAGCAGUCCUCCCGGUAGGGCAGGUUAGGGUUGGGCGGCGGCAGCCUCCCAAACCCUCCCCCUCCUCCUCCUCCCCCUCCUCCCGCCGCCGCCGCAGCAGCAGCCGCAGCCAUCUCCCUCACCUCCAUCGGAACCAGAUCUCGCAGGAGCAAACCCUAACCCUAGCUAGCCCGCCCGCCGAGAGAAGAGGACCGAGCGAGCCUCGGGGAAGUCGCGCGUGACGGUGGGCUAUGUGAGCGGUGGGGGGUUCGGGGUUGGAAUAAAAGGACACGGCGAGGGAAGGGGGGAGGUGGGGUCGCCGGCCGCGAGGGGUCCGGGUUCCGUCCGUCACGCACGCGGCACGUGACGCGUGACCGGCGAGGGGGGGGCGGCAUCGGCAUGGCAUAUCUCGCUCGCUCUCGUGUGUCGUGGGUGACCGGAUUCGGAUCGGAGACGUGCCGCCGUUGGAUUGCGUUUGACCGGGUAACCGGCGAUUACUUUCGGGUUUCGGAGGGCGGGUGGGAUAAUGACAGCCAGCCAGGCACAGGCAAAGCAGAGCGCGGCGACAGGCGACAGCCGGAGACCGGACGGAAUACGGUGGCUGGCGCGGGGGUGGGAAAUUACCGCGUUGCCCCUACCCCGGGGAGCAGGCCGGGGCGGCACGCGGCAGGGGCAAGGCGGGGAUUUCGCGUGGGGCGGCGCGGUGUCAGGGGGUGAGCUGGUCGCCGUUGGUCGGUUUGCGUUUCGGGGCCGCCGAAAGAGGGGAGAGGAGAGAGAGAGAAACGCGCCGAGGAUGAUGGGGAAGGGAGAGGAGACUCGCGAACCGAAGACACCGCUGCUCCUCGCUCUGUACUCCAGUCUAGGCUUCUAGCUAGACUCGGCGCGGUGGAGUGGGUGGGUGAAGAGACUGAGGCGCGGGGCCCGCGUGCAAGCAGGCAGGGCGGGCAAUUAUUGUCGCCUCUGGUGCCGUCGCUCGGUACAGAGGACGGACGGACGGACGGCGUGGGCAAAAUUUAAUCGGCGUGCAGCAGGUGCCGGCUGCCGCCUGCAGGCGCCGGUCCUUCGGAUUGAUCGGUGGAUGGAUGCACUCGCCAAUGGCAAUUCAUCCAUCAAACAUCAUUCGUUACUGUAUAUUUUGUGGCAAAUCAAGAUUAGAGGUUCAUCAUCCGUUUACCGUUUUGGUUUGUCCCCUGGCGUCAUCAUCACCGUCUGGGCUUUGGAACUGACAAUAUGGUUCUUUCGGUGAAAUUCAGGUGAAAGUAAAACUCCACCGGUAGAUAGCAGCGGCCAUGGUGCCGUCGUGGGAACAGAGCAGUACGUACGUUACGGGCUCGCGUCAAAUCCUCGACGGAACCGUGCCCGCUGCACCGGUGGGUGAACAGAACACCAUAAAUCCCUCGCGGCCGUGGAGAGAAGUCAGGGGAACCGCGUGUACGUACGUGGUCCUCUCCUGCUAGCUAUAGCUAGGCUGCCCCGUGCGACCGGCGGCGAGGAAACGGCACGCUCGGGAGCCGUCAACAUUGAAUCGGAGGGCCGGGCGGCCGCGAUAGCGUAGCGACCAGCGAGAUACUCAGUCAGUACGGGCUACUUCGGGCUGUCACGCACGCACCGAGCCGGACGGCCGGGCCGACGCGUCGGGCUUGGGAACCACCGGCGCCGCAGGGGCGGGCUCGGACCGCGUCCAACGCCGCAGGCUUUGCAAAGCUUGCGUUGCGUGUACCCCACGCUACCACGCGGGUCCCCUCCACCAAUCAAUUCCAGGCCGGACGGACGGCCGGUACCGUGUACCGACGCGUCGCCCGCCGGAUCUCCGUGGCGUUUUCCUUUGCCUUUAGUUGUGUACCCGCCCCGCUUCACGCCGGCCUUGUGCGGCAGUUGUGUACACACACGCACGCACUUGUACUACUACUGGUGGCCUUGGACUUUGCUGGUUGCUGGUGCGCACCCAGCUUUUUGCGAACGGUUCCGGGAAACGCCGGCGGAAACUUGUGCGGCGGGUCGGUCGGUUGCCGGGGAAGGAAGGAUUCUUCACACAAGCAACGUGAGAUCUGACCAAGGGGAGCAGCAGCCAGCCAGCACGAGCAGCAGUUCGGCGCUGGAGCUACGCGCGAGCUGGGGCAGGAGCUACACGCCAUGUACGUUGCGUCCCCGGGCCGGUUUGAUUUACGACCGGAAGAGCCGCAGCGUUUCCGGCGCGAUGACCGGACAAAUUAGCCGGCUUGGCCGAUGGCUAUACUAUAUCGGAUUGGACAUAUGGAGUGAUAGUGCUCCCGACAGGUAGGAGACGGACGGACGAGAGCGAGUAAACUGCUGCCUGCGACUCUGCGAGUCCUGCCGUGCACGGCUCCAUGGACGGACCGCACGUCCAUGGCCUGUGUAGCUCCGACCGCACCGGACGCAGGCAAGCGGGACGUGCUGUUCAUCCUGCAGACGGGACUGACCCAAGUUAUUGGAGACGCGUCGGCAUUGAAGCCUUUUCCAUUCUCAGGAGCAUGACGUAAUCACGGGAUCACGCACGGCGUGGGCAAAAGAUUACCAGCCGCGCCGCGCGUGCCUGACUGCCUGUGCAGCUGUGCUAUUUUGAGUGCAGAAUACAGUUCUUCAGAACCGCGCCUGUUUUUUGAGGCUAACUGAACAUGCAGUUCCAUACAAUUUCAAAACUCUACGUAUAAUACGGAAGGGUAAAAGAUACUGAGGCGGUCGAGACCACUGUCGCGACACGCGAAGCCUGAAAUCGUAGCGGAUUUACUUUUUCUUUCUCUCGGGGCAACGUCCAGCAACAGCAAGUGACUGCUUGCCGGUUCAUCUGGCCGGACUGAAGGUGCAGAACUAUCUGCUUCCAUGACCAUGUCAUCUUACUGAACUGAUGUUGAUGUUGAUCGAACGGAAACUUGGUAUUAGUGCAAUUUGCAUUUGGUAGACGGGGGGUGGGAUGAAGAAGCUGCAGCGCAUUGGUCAGGGCAGCAGAUGGAAAACGCUGGAGACGGAGGUCAAAGAAGACGCGCGUAAAGGAACCGGUCAGAACAGUGACUUCCUUACUGGAUUUAGGUGACAGGCUGAAAAUUGUUUAUACUUUGGCACGUUGCCUGGGACACAGCAGUGGACAAGUUCGGUUCGGAGAAUUCUAUCCUCCAGUCAUGUUCCUUCUCGGUGAUUAACUAUCAGCUCAUCUGCCAAUCACAUGUUCUGUGGUGACAGCAGCCAGCAAAAAUAACCGAACGGAUUAGUGAUCGCCUAGAUUAUGUAGCUCAAUUUGCAUGCGUAGUUUCAAACGGUAUAAAACGAUGCCUUCGAAGAAAUGGGAGUAGUAAAAAACAUGUGGACUCGAUUUGGGCCGGGCCGCGAUAUCUUCGGUUCUCCACCCUCUUACGCGCAGCGUUUCUUCUCAGUGUCUGCUCAUCACUUGCGUUAGCUUGUAUUGUUUGCCUUCGCUUAAUAUUAGUGCCAUGUUAUCAUGGCUCCAUCGCCCAGUCGAACGCCGGCUAUCAGUUCAAAUUAUGGAUAGUCUAUUGGCUUUGAAUAAUGCGUGUCCUUGCUCUGAUUCCGUUGAGUGUCAUUCCAAGAGUAGGUAUCUAUCAGAAGAAUUUUCAGCAAAUGUCAGUGCUGCUUGAAGUCAACGAGUACUAAUCACAACAUGUGUGAACAUUUGCCAUCCUCCUGCGGUGCACUCUGACCUGCAUUGGAGAGCUGUAUUGCAGCCUGAAGGUCUUCUUCUCUAUUCUACUUCUACAUAUCUACCCACGUGUAUAUGCAGUAUCCUCCGAUGGUUUAGCCCAUGGGCAAUGCAGUUGUCUGCUUCAAUUCUUGGUGUUUCAGAACUAGUAGUACUACUAGAUAUGAUCAGUAUGCUGGGGACAGGACAGUAUGAAUGUACGAUAGAUAAGGUCCUAGAACAUGGGCCACAGGUUAUGCAGAUCGCAGACACGAGUGUUUGGCUGGAACUGAUCUCCGAAUGCGAGACUCCGAGAAACGUUGAUGCCGCUUUCUGUCGAUCACCUUGAGCCAUUGUCCGUCUGCUGGCCUGGCAGGGAAAGUCUACGGAAUGCCAUCUCGAAAGCCAUGGAAAUUCUGUUUUGCCUGACAGAACUCUGGCGUACAUGAGCAACAGCGACCGGAGCGUGGUUUGCCUGCGUGCUUGACUGUAUGGUCACGACGAACACGAGGUGGCGACCAUCCGCCGCGUUAUCCAGGACUGCACCCGUCAGAGAAGGAUCCUUCACUUUUUGGGAAUCCAAUCACUUCGGGAUCCAUCAGAGCAGAAGACACGGCCAUUUCGCCGGCGGCUUUCCCCAUACAGUGCACAUCUCGUGAACUUCCGUCCAUAUUUUCUGGCCAAAUUUGCAAAGGAUUUGUGCUUUUCAGAGUGCAGCAAACGUAGCAAUACCAGGAAACUACGGAGUAGAAUAGGAAGGAACGUACGCCUGUUUGUUCGGGCGGCAAAGUCAGAGCGACACUCUCUCUACUUUGUUUGUUCGUCAGGCCAGGACGCCCGCCAAACCCGACAUGGAUAACUCCAUUAUUGACGAUGGAAAGUAGAAAUCUGACCCCGGGGGCACUAGCAGACGACACUAUCCACAUUGUCUUCACACACCGAGAAUAUGACAAAAUAACAUGCAUUCUUAAUUCACCUAUCGUCCCCAGUACACACCAUCAGAAAACAUCUUCGAUCUUCUAAGGCGUGGAUGCAUUAGGGGUGCGUAUAAAAAUAAUCAUACUCCUUCCGAUACAUAAAAAGUUUCCCACAUUUAGUACAAAAUAUGUACUCCCUCCGUCGAACAAAGGAUGUUUCAACUUUGAUUAAAUUUGAAUGCAUCUAUACACUAAGUCAUGUCUAGAUACAUUUAAAUUUUGACAAACUUGAGACAUCUUUUGUUGGACGGAGGGAGUACUAAUUUUAGUACAAAAUGUGUGACACUUUUUAUGAAUGGGGGGAGUAUCUCCUAGACUCUUUUGAUUCAAAUGAGUUAAUCCUUCAGAAUUUUUUCUAUGUAGGCUUAUUUCAUUCGUAGGAUUAGAUUUUAGUGGAAAUUUGCCUAUGGUUCACUUUGCACUGCAGUGAUGCAAACCAGAUUCCGCGAAAACCCACUUCUAGUUCAUUUUUCAAAUCUUCAAUUCAAAUUUUGAGCAAAAAUUUGGAUAAAAGACUUGAGAAUUGAACUAAAAGUUGACCAUCAAUGGGAUCCCGUUUGCAUCUCUACUGCUCUCAAUUCCAAAGUAAAUUUUCCAUCUAAAUCUAAUCACUUGAAAAAAUUCCUUUGUUUCCAUGAUAACUAUACCAAUGCACGUAAUGUUUUUCUCUGUUUUUCCUCUAAUGCUAGAUUGAGUCUGUUUUUCCUUUAAUGUUUUUCCAACUCGAUUAGUUUAUUCAGGUGGUUUCUUCCUGUAGAAAACAACAUAUCAUGACAUUUCAAUCUUGUGUUUGCUAUUUCAGGGCUCAUUCACUCUACAUGCGUUUUAGAUGAUUUUUCUACAAGAUUUCAACUCUUACACCUUGUUUGGCACAUGUGGGUUUCUUACGUUUUCUAUUUCUACUCUACAAUCUUAAAAUCAUGUUCUCCUUCUGACCUUUGUUCUCAAAUUUAUCUAAAUACGGAUGUAUCUAUGUUUAAAAAAUGUCUAUAUAUAUUUAUAAUAUUUCAGUAACUAAUAUGAAUCGGAGCAACUAACUCGAACGAGCCCUCGGUGUUUGAAUAUUUAAAUACUCCUGAAUGCAAGUAUAGUUCUGCACUCCUACUGCAGCUUGCUACCACGAAACUAAACAUUUCUCUUUCUGCAGCCCCCGACUCGAUCUAGCCGCAGUCCAUGUCGUUCUUUUCGCCCUGGCGUGUGCAAGAGUCGAACCCAUAGUGUGAACAAUUGAGUUAGGCACGAGCCGGAGAGGAGGAGAAAGGACAAAUUAUUGCUCAGAUUAAUCAUCACCUCGAUCGUUGCGGCGCAAUACCGUUAUAUAACGACGGAAUACGGGCCCACACGUCAGUGUAAAGCGAGCUGCUUGCCGCUUUCUCCCUCUUGCGUGACGCCGUCGCCGUCCAGAGCCAUCUGGCCACCGGGCUCCCAGCCCCCCACAGAUGUGCCCCCUGCAUGCGCGCCAUGUAUCAGCCUCUGAUACGUCAGGCCAGGAACCAUCCUCAGCCGUCAGUUCGUCCAUCUCGACGGCUGCGAUCGCGCUGCCGCCACUUAUAAAUAGCACCGAUGCACGCGCGAGAAAGUCCGUUUUACCUUGCUGGGGGGGGGGGGUUUUACUUACAUGAGCGCGGGAAUGGAGGCGGAGCUGGAGGCGGCUCAGCGGCGCUUCCGGCUCUGGUUCCGCGGGCUGCGUUCCCUGCGGCGGGACCUCCGGUCGGCCCGCUGGGCCGGCGACGACCCGGCCCAGCUGGGGAAGCUGGCGGGCGGCUUCGUGGCCCACUUCUCCGACUACUGCGCCGCGCGGGCCGAGCUGGACCCGGUCCUGCUGCUGUCGGCGCCCUGGGCGAGCCCCGCGGAGCGUGGCGCCGCCUACUGGCUGGCCGGGUGGCGGCCGACCACGGUGGUCCACCUGCUGUACACCGAGUCCAGCCGCCGGUUCGAGGCGCAGCUCCCUGACCUGCUCCUGGGCGUGCGGUCGGGCAACCUGGGCGACCUCAGCCCGGCCCAGCUGGCCCAGAUCGACGAGCUCCAGCGCCGCGCCGUCGCCGAGGAAGACGCGCUCUCAAGGGAGAUGGCGCGGCUGCAGGAGGGCCACGGCGUCGUUGGCGGAGACGGGGAUCUGGACGUGGAGGGGAUCGUGAGGCGCGCCGGGGCCGUGGUGGCAGGGGCCGACGCGCUGCGGCUGCGCACCUUGAAGCGCGCCGUGGAGAUCCUCGAGCCGGCGCAGGCCGCCGAGCUGCUCGUCGCCAUGGCCGACAUGGAGAUCGGCUUCCGGGAGUUCGGGCUAAAGCACGGCGACGGCGGUGGCGAGCCGAGCCGCGGCGCGUAGGCAUAGGCGUGGCGCGGUCCAGAGAGCAGAUCCUCAUCCGCAUCGGCGGCUCGGCCCAGUUUUUUUCUUCCAAGUGUUUGCGCUGGUUUGACUGGGACAGAAAGACUGCUCACUGUUGUAAUCUUGUUGCCGUGACGAUUGUCUUUGCCGAACUGUCUCGCGGUGGGUGCUGCGUCGUAGCUGGACCGUGUGCGUGUGCGUGUGCGUGCGCGUGCGCCUGCUGGGAUGUCGUGUGAGAAAGCAAUAAAAUGCAAGGAAUGCAUGCUUGGUUUCGUUGAGAAGUCAUAUUUUGUUUUCGAGCAAGCGGUUUUUUUAACAUCUUUUCCGAUAAAUUGGCUGUUUGUCUGUUCACUACAGAAGACCCGUCCUUUUAAAAACGGUUUUGCUAUUAAUAAAUCCAUGUUUUAGUUAGAGUAGUCAUAGGAUUUUAAUCCAAUGAUAGCAAGUGAGAGAUGAGAGAACGAGGAUGACUCUCAGAUCUCCAGCAGUUAUGAAACGUCGACUGAUAUUUAAGGUUCAUUUUUUAAAAACUUGCGACUUAGAAAUAGCCAUACCCAUUUAAAAAACGUGUUAAAUCUUAUUAAAAUAAGAUUCUGAUCGAUAACUUAUUUUUAAUAGGUAUUGCUACGGAAAAGUUGUUUUUCUAGUUAAAGAUAAGUUGAAACACCAACUGUCAUAUCUUGAUCCAACGGCGGCACAUUGAAGAUGGGGUGUAGCUGCUAGCUUCGGCAUUGAAGAUGGCGUCAUGGUAGGGAGAAGCUAUCAAGUUAUCCGAGAUAGAGGAGGCACUGAUGGAACACAUCCGCUUGCUAGGCUUGUAAUCGGACAAAUAAUUCAAACAGCUUUGCUAUUCAUAAGACAAUUGAGAAAUAAUUAUUUUCAAGCCGACGCUAACAAUCGUUUAAUCCAAUCUCUGAUAUGUGUGAGAUCUAUACAAGUGUUGUUGACUGAAAAUAACUGCUUCCUCCGCGCCUGGAUACUCGUCGUGGUCCGGAAAUCCAACCAGUUGUUCGUUCGAGCCAGAUCCAAACGACACCGGACAGACAACCACGGGCGGUUCUACCGUGCCGCACGGUCACGCGCCCAAUUAACCGGCCACACGGCCAAGCGAAUCCAGGAUUAAAAAUAGGAAUCGCGUACAAUUACCGGCCACCCAGCCAGGCAGCCCGCAACGAUAAACCAGCAGUCUCCCGCUCCAUGUUUGGGAGCCAUGCCCAACUACAAACCCAACGUUUCCAAGCUGGCCGCCGCGCCCCGCGACAUCCACACGGCAGAUUAACCCUUCUUCUCCUUUCCUUCCUUCCUCCCUCUCCGCGCGCGCGCGACCUCCCGCAGACCCGCCUCCGCGAAUCUAGCCACCCCCGCGCGUGCGCCACGCACCGUCCGUCCGUCGGACCUCGGCCGGGCCGGCCCGCGGUCGUCGGCGCGCGGAGGGCGUUCGUGAGAAUGCGUGCGGCGGCGAUUGGUUGCUAGCUAGCUAGCGGCAUGCCUGGCAUGAGCGCGUGAUGGCGCCGCCGUUCCUGAAGACCGGGCACGGCCGCGACAGGUUCUCCUUCAGGCGGCGGAAAUCGUCCUCCUCCUCGUCCUCCUCGUCGACGCCGUCUUCUCCGCUCUCGGUGUCGUCCACAGCGUCGGAGGACAUCGCCGACCCGGGCAGCCCCAUGGAGUCGUCAGCGACGACGGGCAAGACGCUGCCCUGCGCCCGGCGGGCGCUCUCGCGGAGCAGCUGCGGGUCCAGGGGCAAGCUGUCCGUCGACCUGAUCCCGCCGCCGCUCGCCGGCGGCCCGUCCGACGCGCCCAGGUCCUCCACCUCCGCCGCGCCGCCCCCCAAGCCUCCCCCCCGCAACGAGGGCCCGCCUUCAGGUCUCACCAUUGUUAAUUUUCUAGUGUCUGUCUGACUUUCUGUCGUCAAAUGCAGAGAAAUGCCUUGUUAUGUUUUCGUGAUCGAUUGCAUGUAUCCAGAUGCUGACAUCGUGAGGGACAAGUUCUCCAAGCUGCUGCUGGGGGAGGACAUGUCCGGCACCGGCAAAGGGGUGUCCUCUGCCCUCGCUCUCUCCAACGCCAUCACCAAUCUUGCAGGUAAUCUCUCCCUUACCUUCCAUUUCCGAUCUUUCCAUUUCCAAUAACAGUCCCUGUCUUUCAAAUCUUCCCAUUCUGUCCGUUGGGUUCUGAUGGAUACUGACACGAUCAGCUAUGAUUUCUUUCUCAUGACGUGGCACAUUGCAGCUUCCGUGUUCGGUGAGCAGCGGCGUCUCCAGCCGAUGGCCGCAGAGCCGAAGGCCCGAUGGACAAAAGAAAUUGACUGGCUUCUGUCCGUUGCCGACCACAUCGUCGAAUUCGUUCCUUCACGUCAGGUGUCCGAGGAUGGCUCCACCAUGGAGGUCAGAAACAAGAGGAUCCUUGCUUAUCACAAGUACCUGGAUGUAGUUCUGUAUCACGGAACAUCUUUAUGCAAAUCCAAUUACAGCGGUGCUAUUUUUCUCUCUCUCCCCCCAAACAGAUAAUGAUGACUCAGCAGCGUAAGGAUCUGCAGAUGAACAUCCCCGCACUGCGCAAGCUCGACGGGAUGCUCCUUGUAAAGCUCUGCCACAUUCUUCUUUGAAAUCAUUUACGAGAAUGACAUGCGUGGAGAUACCUGAUGAAUUGCUAAUAUGCUAUGGCUGCACAUUUCCUGUUGUGGGGGCACAGAGCUAUCUUGACAGCUUCAGGGACAAGCAGGAGUUUUGGUACGUGUCGAAAGACGCAGAUGACUCGGAGAAGGGAGACGCGCCGAAGCAGGAUGACAAGUGGUGGCUCCCGACUGUCAGGGUCCCUCCUAAUGGUCUGUCGGACUCGUCGAGGAGGUGGCUUCUACACCAGAGGGAGCUCGUCGGCCAAGUCCAUAAGGCAACAAUGGCCAUCAAUGCUAAUGUUCUUAUGGAGAUGGAUGUUCCAGAAGCCUAUAUGGAGUCUCUGCCUAAGGUGACCCAUAUGAACACAGCAACAUUGCAUAACAUUUUUCUUUACUUCGGUUCACUGCAUUUAGAGGGAUCGAGACUCACUUUGACAGCAUCUUCUUUUUUUAUGCUUGAUAGAAUGGAAAGUCUAGCCUUGGAGACUCAAUGUACAAGCUUAUAACUGACGAAUAUUUUGACCCAGAAGAACUCAUAGCAUCAGUAGACUUGUCAGCCGAGUACAGCAUCGUUGAUCUGAAGAACCGAAUCGAAGCCUCGAUUGUCAUUUGGCAGAAGAAAAUGACGCAGAAGGAUGCCAAGAUGUGGGGGCAUGGUGUCAGUCAUGAGAAGCGGGGACGGUUUGAGGGGAGGGCGGAGAAUGUUCUUCUCCUCCUUAAGCACAGAUUCCCCGGAAUUUCUCAGUCAGCUCUGGACAUAAGCAAAAUCCAGUACAACAGGGUACUGGCAACCAUCUUCAAUUUUCCACUGUAUUUUCGGAUUUCCUACAGUACUUUAUUACUCAUGCUCAUUGCAUACAUUUUCUCGUUGUGAUUUUUUUGCAGGAUGUUGGCAGUGCCAUUUUGGAGAGCUACUCCAGGACUCUUGAGAGUCUAGCAUACACGGUUAUGUCUCGCAUCGAAGACGUUCUUCGCGCCGACUCCCUUGCUCAAGACCCCAAGAACGCGGAGGCGACGAGAAUGCCGAGCUUAUCAUCAGAUGACACAGACACGGUCGUCCAAGAUGCCAAGGACGAGGUGGAGAGGCUGGGAAGAAUGGAGCCUCUGAACUCGACACUAUUCGACUACGUGGGCCCACGGGACGGAGAUAUCGGGCCCAUGAUGUCGGAUUCACAGGAACCUCGGGGUGCAAAGCUGUCAAAGGUUUCGUCGAUCGCAACCAAGAGGUUCUCCUACCUAGAUAAGCUUGAGAAUUUGGGUGGAACAAGGAGCCCCAUAUCUAGACACUAGUCGCUGCCGUAGGGGAAAAGACGAUCAAUAUGGUGUUGAUGUUGCUGCAGAGACUCCGGGGAAAACUGCACGUAAAUAGCUCCGCAAAAACUGAGGGUGCAGCAUGCAUUGUGAGGUUUAUGUAAGCUUUCAAGCUUUCAGGCACCAAUACCUCCAAUUUGGUGCAGUUGCCAAGACAAUGUGAUGACGAUUCUCCUGCUAAAUUUACAUGAAAUAACCACAAGAUUCUGACACUGGACCUGAAAAUGGACCUCCAGAUUUUCUUACUGUACUUCUGUAGCAAAGUUUUGUGGUUCCAGUAAAGUGUUUGUUAUCUUAGACUUGACUUGCAGACCAUGCUUGGGUUCGGCUAGUGUUCUCCCCACGUACAAUUUAAGAGGGUAAUAACAUAUCACUGAACUUGGAGAUCGAUCUGUGUUAGCUUCUGGCGUUCUAGAUCGGCACUGUAAUAAGUAACUGUAACUGUACCAUGGCUCUAUGCAUUGGGAAAUUAAAACCACUCGUAUGAGUAAAUCAAUUUACAGGAACAAAUGAGCAGUAAAAAGCAUCCUUCCGGUUGCUGAUAGUACGUGCAGCUAGGCACGCCAUAUGAGUACAUACAACGAAGGACUUAACGUCCAGAUACGCAGAUCCAUGGUACACAAGCACAGGCAUAUGCAGGAACAGAUUCAGAGAGAGAGAGAGAGAGAAAGAAACUGAAACCAAAGCUUUAAUCAAAUCAGAUCAGAUCUUGCCGCGUGGGCCGGGGGUGGGGGGAAGCUGCGGCCCCUUCUUGAUGGGCAGCAGGUCCGGCGACGUGGUGGCGCCGAGGUAGGCGAUCAGGGACCCGCCGCCGAGGAGCAGGAACUUGAGCAGCAGGCCGCGCUUGGUGAAUGGCGCCGCGAAGGUCUGGAAGAACUUGCUCUGCAGCCCGUUGUAAGGGGACGGCGCGUCGGACCCGUACAGGUCCCACUGCCCCGUCGUGUUGCCGAUGUCGUCCAGGUCGAAGUACACGCUCUUCUCCCCGUACUUCGCCUGCACCGCGACGCCUCGUGCAGGCCUGCAGGCGUACGCGCACGCGUAUAUAUACGGUUAUUUAUACGUAUGUACAUACGCUCGAUCGAUGACAUAUUAGCUCGCUUCACGUGCGUACCUGCGGGUGGAGCGGCAGAGGGAGGACGGCCGGGCGGUGGCGGCGAGCUUGCGGCCGGACAUGGAACUGCCGGCCAGGCCCUUCACGGCGGCCGACGGCUGGACGGCGACGAGCGACACCAUUGUUGUAACAGUGGGAUGUGUUCUGAGCUUCUUUUUCUUUUUUUUUUUGCUGCGGGUUACGUGCGCGAACUUGAUCCAGUGCUGGGGAUAUUUGGAAGGUGUGCUGCUGCGGGGCUGAUCAGGUUUGGGUGGGAGAGGCUUGGCGGGGAUGGGCGAGGCCCCCAUUGGGAGCGCGCCACGCGGCAGGGUUCCGGAUAGGCUUAUCCUGAUCGCUUGAUUCUUGGGAGGGAUGACAUGGCGCGGCCAACGUGGCACCGGAGCUUGCGUGGGGUUGUCCAGCUGGGAACGGGCGUCGGAAAAGAUCUCACCAGAUGUCCCCGACGGCAUCGAUCGAUCGAUCACGGUCUCACUGAGAUAUGGUGGGCCGGUGGGCCCAGAAGCCCUCUAGCUAGGUGCUAGGACAGUGCACGUAACGUACUCCGUAUUGAUCAUUGAAGGAAAGUAAAGAGAGAUAGGUAGAGAAGGACGUCCACGUACUCCGUUGCAUUUUGCAAAUGUUGCACGUACGUACGUAUCAGCACCAGGAUACAUAUGCAACGUGGGCAGGCAGAGUACGUAUAUUGUAGUGUAACGUAUUGCUAGUCGAUCUUAAGCACCUUCCGCUUGGCCGGGGAUACUAAUUAACCGGUAAAUACGGCGGAAGGGAUGUGUACAGGCGCGAUAUAUACAGUGGAUCCAGAUCUGAGAUCGAUCUAGCUGAGCCUUGCGUACGUGCUAUAUACACAUCCUCAUCCGCGAUGGGCAAGCGCAUGCAUGCAGGGUACGCUUCUACGACAAUGGAGCAGCAAAGGAAUUGACGCUACGCUACGUACAGCGAAUCGAUCAUGCACGGAUUUGCGAAUCGAUAUCUUCACGAUGCAUGGCCACAGGCAGGAUGGCGCACAAGUGUGCUGGGAGCGAGAAGACGCGACUAAAAAAAUAUGUGAAUGCGAUGAGCCGGGCCAGGCUGCCAGCUUUAAGCCCAGAUCCAGAGCGACAAGCAAGCCGUUGUUGCACGCCCAACACUACCAACAUGGACCCGCUUUUUUUCGGCGGGCCUGAAUCCACCGUCUAUACUGAUGCCCUCUGGCCCAAACGAGAAAAGAAAUACCAUACAGUACGGCCGUUUGUUUUUUGUGGGUAUACUGUACACAGGUUGGCGCGGCUAACGAAGAUGCGAGGGCACAGGGAGGCGCACCUUCCUCGGUUCAGUUCAGUUCAGUUCAGGCCGAGAUCCACCGAUCCGCGCGCGCACAGCGCACCGGUGAGAAAGCCAGCACCGACGACGCGGCGCCCCCACGCCACCAGCCAGCCACCGGCCAAACGCACUAACCAAAACCUCGCCGUCGUCGUGCGCUCCCGCCGAACCCCACCCUAGUUCUCUCCCUACUACAUCUCCACGGCGGGAGCUUUGCGCAGCUCUCCCCCGCUCCCCGUGCCACACUCGCUCCUGCACCUCCCGCUCCCCGUCUCCCUUCCCGGCCUGGGGCGUCGGUCCCCAAUUCGGGUCGGGGGGCGCCGAGGUCGCGAGGCGGAUCAGGAUCUGAUCCCGCGCGGCCGGAGCGGGAGCGGUGGGUCGGUCGAUUGGGCGGCGCCGGGAUCAGAUCUAUGCGCGAGAUCUAGCCGGGCGUGCGGGCGGCUGCUGGUGAUCGGAGCCGGACCCGGAGGGGAGUGAGGGAUGGCGUGGUGGUCGGGGAAGGUGUCGCUGGGCGGGCUGCAGGACAUCGCCGGCGCCGUGAACAAGAUCAGCGAGAGCGUGAAGAACAUCGAGAAGAACUUCGACAGCGCGCUCGGCCUCGAGGAGAAGCGCGACGACGAGGAAGGUAUGCGCCACUCAUGCUAAAGCCGCCCCCCCCCGACCCGACCCCUUUCCUCCCGUGUAGCCGCCUAGCCGGGCAGCAUUGGUGCAUGCUUGGCUGCGUGCAAGUGUCGAUUGGGAACUGCGAUGGGAUUUUUUUGGUUGAAUACUGCACUGGGUCAUGGGAUUGUCACUGGCGGUAAUGCUGUUUGUAGCGUUGUUCAUGCGAUGAUUGGUUAGUUAGCUAUCGAUAGUGUAUACUGACUGAUGUGAUUGUAGGAAGCAGAAGUUUGAAUUCAGGUCAUCGCUGGUUCCAUUGCUCUCGCAGCUUCUUAUGUAGAUAGAUUAUUGCUUAAGUCUCGGACUCUGUAAAUUGGUCAAGCAAAACCCCAGUCCCUAAGUUUCGUAUUUAUCAGCUGCUGCAUUAUUGAUCAUUGAUUGGUCUAGCCAGAUCAUAAAAACUUAUACAUACUUCUUAGUAGCGUUGGCAUUACAACAGAUUUUGUAUUGCUCUUUCCUUUUGAGAAGUAAUGGAACUUGGAGGCAGUGAAUUCAUGCCUAUUCUCAUAACUUUUUUCCAAUAGUUUUUGUUCUGAGUAGCAUCGCUAGGAUGAGCAUAUUUGGAGAAUAUAUAGCUUCUAAUUGUUCAUUUACAUGGCUAACGUGAGACCCAAAAAAUGUGUUUUUGGGUGAUCCAGGAUCAGGAUCACGUACAUCCAACUCUGAUGGAAUAGGAUUCUUUAAUCCUGUCAUGGCAUUUAUGGGACAAAAUGGUGAGGAGAACUCUACGGAAGUAUCAGAAAAGCAACAAUUGCCAAUACAUUCGUCAGCAGAAGAAGAAAAUCAUAGGGUCACCACCGAGCCAGCUACAUCUGAAGCAGAUGCUUCUGAAGUAUCAGUAACAACCCAAUCUCCAAAGCAGCUUCCAAAAUUAGAAGAGAAUGUCAGCAGCUCCACUGAGCUACCUGUAUCUAAGGUGGAUGUUCCUGACCAAUCUGUAACACCGCAAGCUCCAACACAUCCUUCAGCAUUAGAAGAAAAUAAUGGUGGCUCCACUGAGUCACCUACAUCUAAGGGGGCAACUUCUGAAGUAUCAGAGACACCGCAGUCCCCGAUACAUCCAUCUAUAGCCGAAGAAAAUUCUAGUGGCUCCAUUGAAACUAGUAACUCAGUUGAGAGGGAAAAUCAGGGUCACGAAGGUAAUGAAUAUUCUGAUCCCAAUGACGAAGCUUUACCGAGCCAGCUUGGAGUGUCCGGCAGGGACAUACCUGGUGGUGGAACAUCUUCACCUAAUAAAUUAGAUCAAUCAAGUGUUAUUGGAGCAGAAGAAUCUAUUCAUGAUGGAAAGGAUGACACAAAUGGUAACCAGUCACAGCCAGCAGAUUCCACGGUAGCCAGUUCAGAUGAUGUAAAUGAAGGCAAUAAGAUUGGUCAAGAAUUUGAUGCCCAAAAGGAAAUAAUCAGCCCACAUGAGAGCAAUGUUAUCGAUGACAAAGCCAGUCAUGUGGAAGUCAAGUUACAUGACGACGCUGCUGAGAAUGAAGAAGAAAACAGUCAAACAGAAGCACAUGCAGUAUCUGUUGUUGAAAAUGUGGAUAAUACAGUGUUGCAACUUGAAAACCCUACCUCAAAGUCGAUAACUAUGGAUGAUGAUUCAGACUCGCAAAAUGAGUUAGCACCCGCUUCUGUACAUGUUCCUGUUGGUCUUGUAGAAGUUGGUUCUCAUGCAAAUGAUUUGAGAAAAGAAGAAAAGAUUCAUGACUCUGUAACAACCAUAAAUUCUCGAGAAUCUGUUGGUUCUGUUGUUGAACUAGAGAAACUAAGACGUGAAAUGAAGAUGAUGGAUGCUGCAUUGCAAGGUGCUGCAAGGCAGUCCCAGGUAUCAUUUCCAAAAUCCACAUGCUCUAGCAUCUACUGUAGCAAUUAAGUUAGUAACAUGUUUGGUUGAGGAACUAGACAGUGAGUAUAUCAUCCGAUUCUAGCCCACUUGUUUGGGUUGAGGAAUAGACUCGGUUAGUCCAACACCACUUCAUCCUUCAUAUGCAUGAGAUUGGCACUAAUGGGAAUUGAGUCAUCCCACCAAUUUGAUUGAUCAUCCCAUGUUGAGGCAACUCAUCUUGGAUUGAGGCAAUCCCUCGAACUAAAUACCCCCUUGAUGCAUGUGUGGUUGAACUUGUACAUUAUGAAAGUUACUCCUGGAUGAUUCAACUUGGAAGCAAACCUUUAGUGCAAUCUGUUUGAACCAAUGAGUGCUUGCUAAAUUGUCUGUAUAUGUACCUUUUUAUUCAGUCUGAAUCUAGUUUACCCGUGAUGUGGAUUCAUCUCAUAUUUUCCUUUUUUUGGGGUGUCAUGCUUUACGGAAAAAAACAUAAAAUAUGUACAGUUAUCUAAUAUUUCAAAGUGCUUUGUAGUGUCAGAAAGGAGCAUAUCAUGCAAUUAUCUUUCUUCUUUUCUGAGUAUUAUAUUCUGAUGCACCGAGCCGGUCAUGAGGUAUUAUGUGCUUCAGAUGCGUUCUUAACAAUGAUCGUCAAAACAUUGUAUAAUUUGAAUGGCCUAUGGCCCCAUGUUAGUCAUUUCUUUGCAACAUACAUGACCCUUCACCACCUAUUUAGGUUCUAACAACACUUUAUUUUUCCUACAGUCCAAAGCUGAUGAAAUUGCUAGACUGAUGAAUGAAAAUGAGCAAUUGAAAUCAGCAAUUGAUGAGCUCAAGGUAUGUUUGCUAAGCAGAUUCCUUAUCUUUUGCCUUCUGGACAUAAACAUUUGGGAUGUCUUUCAGUUAAUUAACAAAAAAAGGAUGCCUUCGGUUUAGUAAUCACCACAAUUUUGAGUUGAAUUAUGUGAAAAUAAACAAGAUAAAUACUGAGUUGCUUGGCAGCUCCUUUAGCCUUUGAUGAGUGUUAUAAUAAAUUUUUUUACUGUACAGGGUAAGUCAGCUGAAGAAGAAAUGGAUGCUCUCAAGGAUGAAUAUCACCAAAGAGUAGCAACUCUUGAAAGGAAGGUGAGACACAUUACUUUUGUUACUCAGUGCUACUAUUGACAGUUGAUCAUUGCGUAUUGCAUACGGCAACCUGAUUUAGGACUAAUAAUCAUGGAGAACAGAUAGAUACAAGUGCGCUAAAUGCCGCUAAGACCAGAGGGUUGAUAAACAAUAUACGAUAUUACUCACAUACAAUAUUGUAAUUACUAAUUACAAUCUUCAUGCUUUUUGUGCGGUGGUAGGCCUGGUAAUGGGGCUAAGCCCGCACCGAAUCCAAACCACACCAUAACAUCUCACGUGUAUUUCCCAAUCGCAACCAAACCAGAAGUGAAAUUAGAAAACCCAAACCACACCGCACCGUACGACUUCUCCAUCCAAUCCGCACCAAACCAAUUCAGAAACCGCAGGCUCCGGCACCACGGUCAGGCUUCGAUGGAGAUAGGCGGAGGGAGGCAGAAGCGGGGAGAUUGAAGGGCGACCGGUGGCGGAGGGUGUUGGACCUUGGGGACACUGGCGACGUGCAGAUCGGGAGGAAAAUGAUGUUGGGGAGCAGAUUGGGAGGAAGACGAUGUGGGGGAGCCGGUUACAGUUUACGAAGAAGAGGAGGCAGGGGGCGCCGGCGGCGGAGCGCCGGAUCAGGCAAGGGCGGCUGGCGGUGGAACGCCGGAGCAGGCAGGCGACGACAUCGGGAGGAAAACGAUGUGGGGGAGCCGGUGACAGUUGACAAGGAGGAGGAGACAGGGGGCACCGGCGACGGAGCGCCGGAUUAGGCAAGGGCGUCUGGCGGCGGAACGCCGAAGCUGGCAGGUGGCGGCGAGCGCAACCCCGUCACCAUCACAAGGGGAAGUUGAGGCCGUGCCAUCAUGGUCUUUGUUAUUCCAAGUGGUGUUCAUGGGCUGAAACCAAGGUUGGAGACCACGGUCUGAGCCCAAUUCAGUUCUAGACCGGUCCAAACCAAACCGCACCAGUCCAAACCGCAUUUGUACUAAUACCAAACCAGCCCAGACCGAUUUUCUAUCCCAUCCAUUUGAAACCGCACUGUUUGAACCCGCAUGCAAAACCCGCACCAAAAAAACCGAACGAACCUGCACCAUUACCAGGCCUAUGCAGUGGCUCUAUUUUGUUAUUCUUUUUUUUUGCAUUCUUUGUUUUAAUGGUAAAAUAAUCAAAGAUUCUCUUCUGUGCUUUAAACUUUGAACUUUAUGUUAAUGGUAAAAUCAUGGUAAAAUAAUCAAGCUAUUUAGCUACACUUUGAACUUCUUUUUCCUGCAAUUCUUCUAUUGUUGAACCCUUUGACUAGCUGGGGCGCAAUUACAUUUAUUGCACUAUGGUUAAUUUUGUUUUUCUCUUAAUUCAGUUCAUCAAGAAAUUGAGUUGAUAUUUAAUACUAAAGUUGUGUUUAGAGUGAGGCAAUGAGCUGCAUUAGUAAGGUUCCUUAGAAUGCUAUUGUCAGAAUCUCAUAAUCCUCUAUGUCAUUUUUUGUCCCUUCCGGGUUCAUAACUUAUAUUGCCAGUGUCCUUGUUCAUAUAUACAAUUAAUCUUGUGCAUAGCACUGAAAUGUUUGUAAUGUGCAUGCCUCAAUGUGUGUAGGUUUAUGCACUAACCAAAGAACGAGACACAUUGAGGAGAGAGCAAAAUAAGAAAAGUGACGCGGCUGCUCUUUUGAAAGAGAAGGACGAAAUUAUCAGUCAGGUUAUGGCUGAAGGUAUGCAUAAUUGUGAUUUUUAUGCUUACUGAACAUAUUUUAACUAAUGUUAAGUCAAAAUAUGUUCUGUUGUAUUGUUGAAAACAAUAUGAAAUUGCCUUUUCUAUUAUUUAAAGACAUCCAGUGAACAUUCCAAAUAUUAAUGUUACCAUACGUUAUGUUGCACCGUGUCGAGCACCCUUUAUUGAUUAGAGUCAUUUCAAUCGUGACUUCAAUGAUCAUGCAUGAAUAUGUACAUAUUAGUAAGAUUAGAAAAAUAUGUAAUUGCCUCCAGAACAUGGAUAUAAGACCAUAAAAAUGACAUCACAAACUUUUAAACCACCUAUCACUUCUGUAUGGGCCUGUACUCUGCAGUUUAUCGUGUGAUAUUUGGAAGUUUUGUGUCUUUAAGCUAGCCUUGGUUGAGUGCCUUACUGCUUUGGUUGGAGCUGAAGUCCUUGGCUCUCUGCUGUAAGGCUCUGAUCUGGCUACCAAUGGUAGUUGUAGAUAACUAGGUAUUAGGCAUGCACAUUUUCUUUGUGAAAAGGGCCUAAUGCCCUAAUGUGUAAGUUUGCCGUUAUUCCUCCAUCCGCUGCUUUAGACCAUGUACAUACUAUAGCCCCCCAUGUGAUCAUGUUCACCUUUUUAGUAUGUUCUGGACCAUGAUUGGCAAUGACACUAACAUCUUGUUUUUACCAAUGGAACAGGCGAAGAGCUAUCCCGAAAACAAGCUGCUCAAGAAGCUACUAUACGGAAACUGAGGACGCAGGCAUGGGAUAUGACUCUAUAACCAUACUACUUCAUCAAAAUUAUAAAGUAGGUUUUACCAAAGUAAUCAAGUUUGCUUUCUUUUUUUUGGUUGAAGCUAGGUUCGUGAGCUUGAAGAAGAAAAACAGCGGAUGAACUCAAAGAUCCAGGUAAAAAGGAAAAUCAACUUUGUUUUAUUAAUGAAUGAAUAAAUAAAUUAAUUGACCCCAACUAAAUUAUUUUCUUAUCUGCUUUAAUAUCAUAAAGUAUUUUUCUUUGCUGUUUGCAUGAUUAAAAAAAUCAUUUCUGAAGCUAUUUUUUAUUGUUUGUUUAUUCCUAUUUGUUUUGUUCCAUUUGAACAGUAGUUUGCAUCACCCGUACAGCUUGUUUACAGUUUCAUGAGUUCGUUACAGUCAGACAUGCUUUUUUCUUUCUUACUUGGUUGAUGGGCAACUCUGAAAUAUUGCACUCAGAGAUUAUGGAGUUGAUCUUCAUCCUUUUUGUUUGCUCUCAGGCUUCAAGUGCAGUCACUAACUCAGCAAUUUUCUGACUUUACAGGUUGAGGAGACAAAGGUUGAGAGUAUUAAAAGAGACAAGGCAGCAACCGAGAAGUUGCUACAAGAAACAAUAGAAAGAAAUCAAUCUGAACUUGCAGCUCAGAAGGAGUUCUACACAAAUGCUCUUAGUGCAGCAAAAGAGGCUGAGGCAUUAGCUGAAGCAAGAGUCAACACUGAAGCCAAAGUUGAGCUUGAGAGCCGUUUGAGAGAAGCUGGUGAAAAAGAAAACAUGCUGAUUAACACAAUUGAUGAGUUGAGGAAUGCUCUCACCAGACAAGAACAGGAGGUAUGCUAUGAAAAUAUUCGUCUGCACCUGUGCAUCUGUAGUUCAACAUCCUCGGUACAAAUAGUGUGUAUAUUGUGCUGAUCUAACCAUAAUCUACAUUUGACUCCUGGAUAAAAACUUCAUCUGAUAAUUAUUGUUUUAGCUGCCCACUUUCGAUUCACUGAUUGCAAGUAUUUCUUUCGUGGCAUUUCAGGCAGCUUUCAGGGAAGAAAGGCUAAAAAGGGAUCAUGAUGAUCUUCAAAAGCGGUACCAAGUAAGCUCUUCUGUUUUAGCUGCUACUACAGAGUACUGUAGUCAUGGACCAAUUCUCAAUUUCUUUCAUUAUUUAAUACUUCAGGCCAGUGAACUUCGUUAUAAUGAACUGGUUACACAAGUUCCUGAGUCGACCAGGCCACUCCUAAGGCAAAUUGAAGCCAUGCAGGUAUGAGUGCUUGCUUUGGAUUUUCCUUGUGCUGUAAUUGUUUCGCUGUUCUUCUGUUAGUUGGUGUAUGCAUCCGAGUCUGUGAAUUGAGUUUUUCUGCUGUUGUAAGUUGGCUAAUCAGUUGUGUUUUAAUUUUAACAGGAGUCAGCUGCUCGAAGGGAAGAAGCUUGGACUGGUGUGGAGAGAACCUUAAACUCUCGCCUUCAGGUCAAUUCUGUUCUGAACUUUUGGUUUAACAGUGAUGUGCAGAAAAACAAUGGAGAAAACUAGAACUACAACAUGGACCUUAAAUUGUUAUAAAUGUGCAAUGAGCAGGGACAGCAGAACAAAAUGGACAUAAACUUUGACAUUAAGUCAUUAAUAACUGUUUUCUUGUAGUUAUUUAUGCCUCUGCAAAUGUACAGAUAAAGAGGAGUGGUUGGGUGCUAUCUAUCUUUAGUGCAGUCGGGCAGUGUCAGGAACACAAACAUAAAUAUUUCACUGACAUAGUUUUAUCUGUCCUACUCAAAUAUGCAGGAAGCAGAAGCAAAAGCUGCUGCCUCGGGAGAAAAGGAGCGGUCCAUAAAUGAGAGAUUGUCACAAAGUUUAUCACGCAUAACUGUUUUGGAGACCCAGGUUUGUGCAAUAAUUUCUUCUAAAAACAAAAACUUGUGACAUUAUUGUAAGUCAACCCGGGUUUUUGGCAACAAUUUGGGGCCUUUAGUAAGAAAAGUAUUUAUUUUGAAAUGAACUUUGUGUCUUGUGCAGAUUACAAUUCUUAGAACAGAGCAGACACAGCUGAGCCGAUCUCUUGAAAAAGAGAGGCAGAGAGCAUCUGAAAGUAGACAGGAGUACCUUGCAAUUAAGGAGGAGGCGGCAAUACAAGAAGGACGCGCCAAGCAACUUGAAGAAGAAAUAAAGGAGCUUAGAGCUAGGCACAAAAAGGAGUUGCAAGAAGCAGCAGAACACAGGGGGCUGCUUGAGACGGUAGUCAAUUUUCUCUGUGAAUCACUUCCUGAAAAGAACUGGAACUACAUGUAUACGGAGCAAUGUUUCUGCUGCCAAUUUCAUUGAUGAGACCUAGAAACACUUUGUUUAACAUAUGACAUAAAAUUUGAACUUUGGAGGCUAUCUUAUAGCAGGCCUAUUUUAGGAUCAACCGGUAUUUGUUUACUUCGUUGCUUUCCCUACGUGAAGAAAAUUAGUUUUAAAUGUCACUAAUCAUGUGCCUGCCAUUAGAUCUUCUAGUUCAUACAUUACCAACUUGGCAACAAUUUAAUGUGUCUAUUAAAUUCUUGCGUCAAUUGCAACUUCUGAAUUUCAGGACCUUGAAAGGGAAAAGGCUGCCAGAGCAGAACUUGAGAAAACAUCUUCCCGGGAGCCACCUAAAAUUCCGCUUCCAGAUCAAACAAGUAUGCUCUUUCUUGGCCUCUGAUUAGUUUCUGUAAGUUCAAUCCAGCUUUUCUUUUUUGUUGCCUUACCUGUGACUCUGUUGGUUUCCUCUUUGCUUUUCUUGAAGGAAAUGCUCCUGUCAGAAGGCUCUCUAGUGCUUUGAGUGUUGGCAGCCUGGAAGAAAGUCAUUUCCUUCAAGCAUCAUUGGACUUAUCAGAUAGUUCAUCAUUGGAGAGGAGAAUGUCAGCAGAAAAUAAUAUGUCAUACUAUCUGAGGAGCAUGACUCCAAGUGCUUUCGAGUCAGCACUCCGUCAAAAGGACGGAGAACUGGCUUCUUACAUGUCACGCUUGGUAUGUAUAUGUGCGGAUGCAUCCUUCUAAUAUUUCUCCUAAACUAUUUUAUUUUAUUUUCUUGCUAUAUAUAUAAAUUUGAUAUUACUUCUGGAAACUGACAUUUGCUGAUUAUUCAAGCUAUUAUUUCAUAAAGUAUAUUGGAGUAGAAAGCUAUUUUUAGCCGAUUUACACCUGAACUUGUGCAUUAUGGAUGUCUAAAAUAUUUCUAGUUAAGUUUAGCACUAGCUUGUGCAUACACACACUAUUUCACACUCCCUUUAAAAAUUGGUGAAACUAUAUCAAGUUGCUGGCAAACCCUGAGCCCAACUGUAUGUUGCCAUAUAGCGUUUUUUUUUGGCUGUUUUCAUGAGGUGCCUGGUUACCUAACUUAUAUCAUUCAGCAUCAUCUAGAAUGUAGUGGGCCAUUUACUCCCUGGACAUUGUAUCAAGCACUCAUCAGUCCCAUACUAGUUUUAAAACCCUACGGGUUAAUUACUACAAAUUCAUGUGUCAUUCUCAUAUAUCCUAAUUUGUGAAGAAGCAGGAGCGGUAGCUUGGAAUAGUUCCACGACUUGUGUUUUCAUAAGAUGUUUUACCUUUACAUGUUUUGCCCACUAGAAUGGCCUACACCAUUUGAAGCCAUCUAUGCUGGCAACGUUUCCGUAUCUGUUUCAUGUUCUAUCAAACAAUCUUCAGUCCCAUACUGGUUUUAAAAGCCUAUGUGUUAGCUACUACAAAUUUGUGUGUCAUUCUCGUAUAUCCUAAUUUCUGAUGAAGUGGAAGCAAUAGCUUGAAAUAGUUCUGUGACUUAUGUUUCCAAAAGGAUGUUUCUUUUAUCAUGACAUCAGGUCACCCUCAAAUGUUCAUCAUUUAGGUUAGGUUUAGGAUAUGAUAUGUUUGUACUACUUGUGCUACAGCCUUGAGAGCAUUGUCGUAGACUCCUUGGGUAUGCAAUUGUUCUAAUACUUCGGCCUUCAUGCUUUAGUACGCUAAUCUCUCUUGCAAUUGGCACUGAAUAAAUGUCACUUUUAUAUUACAGGCCUCAUUAGAAUCUAUUCGGAAUUCUCUGGCGGAGGAGUUGGUGAAACUGACAGAACAAGUAAAUCAUUGUGAACCAACUAGACUAUAAUUUCAUUAUAUAUGCGGGUGCUAAUUGAACUGGUUUCGUAUGCAGUGUGAAAAAUUGCGGACUGAAGCUGCUGCUCUGCCUGGCCUAAGGGCUGAACUGGAAGCACUGAAACAAAGACACUUUCAAGCUCUAGAACUUAUGGGUGAACGUGAUGAAGAGGUAUUUCUCACAUGCAGUGCAUCUCACCAUUACUCUCUGUGUUAUUGACUUGUACCACAAGAUACACCAACAAUAUAUAAUCCGUCAUUAUAUUUAGUCUCAUAUCAUAUGGAAAAGGGAGUCCUCUUCAUGAAUCAAAUUGUGGUAGCGAGCUUACAUAGUGGAAUCCUGUAAUUAACUUCACUAAUUAGUAACCUGGAAUUUCUACACUAAGUAGCUUGUAGUGACUUUUGGUGAUUGCAACCUAGCCCACAAACCCAGCUGUUUCAGUCAUAAAACCUGUAACUCGUCUGGUUUUAGAUUUGAUGUUGUUUUUCAAACUUUGGUUAUUGAAAUGUAAACAUCUAUUCGCUGUAAUUUGUUGAAAAUGAGGGUCUGUAUAGAAAUUGCCAUGGUAAAGGAAAACUAGAGGUGACCUGGUCUCAGUUUACGGGGUGGUUACUGGUUGCUAACCACCGGUUGGAACUGCCAUGAUGGCUGGGACUCUGGUUACAUUUUUAUGCACACUCUGUAGCUGCCGUAUAAGAUGGUCCUGAAAAAUGUUUUAGUAAAUUCAAUUAAUAUGACCUAUUACCAAUACUACUUUCUGUUAACAAUGGAAUGGACCCAUGCAUAAGCUUGACAAUGAACUAGUUGUCUGACAGUUGGCAUAAGCUGCCUAAUUUAACCUGUCCGUAUUAGUGUCUUCUCAAAGGGAUGUGAAUUCAAUGCGACAUUGUGUGUGCACGAUACACUUUCGGAUAUCUUUGUAUUAUUGUUCCGUAGACCCUUACCUUCUAUUUCUUUCAUACUUAUUAUGAAAAAAAAUCUGUGCUGUUUUGCAGUUAGAAGAGUUACGAAAUGAUAUUGUUGACCUAAAGGAUAUGUACAGAGAACAAGUGGAUCUUCUUGUUGGCCAGGUUUGAAGUAUAUUGAUUUAAAUUCUGCUUGUCAUUGCGGAACCCUGAAAUGUGUUGCCCUAAAACAUCAAUUUUCCUUUUAUCAGCUCCAGACAUUGGGCGCUCGUGUAUAGCAGUGAAUUUGACAUCCCAUUUAAUUUUUAAUGCACUGCAUCGACCGAGACCAAGAUAACAAUUUUGAAGCCUGAACAUGUUUCUUCAGAAUUCGAACUGAUGCGAGUGUGGGAAGUUCAUAAUCACACAACGAGUGAAGAUAUUAUUUGUGUACAUUUUGAAGCAUCUUUGUUGUUGAAUUUAGUAGGAUAGUUUGUUGUAUACUAGAUUGAAUAGCUUCACAGUUUUACGUUUACAGAAAUUGCAAAAAAAUAAUUUACUGAAGUGUACCAAAUUUGGAACCUACAAGUGUAUGUCGACGUCUCUAAUAAUAUGGAGAUCCUGUUUUGACAGCUUUGUCAGGUUUUCUGUCACUCUGUAAUCCAGGAUUACUUAGUUUGAUUUUUUGCUAGUUUGGAAAGACUAAAAUAUAUUAGAUUAAGACCGCGUAUUGUGAUGUUGCCGCAAAGAAAUGUAUCCAGCCUGGGGAAAAGCUUCAUUCCCAGGUGCACAAUAAGGGUUGUAAAUGCACAGGAAUAGGAAAAGCACGUGACUACAAUAUCAUGCCCCAAAUUGUAUAGGAUUGUGUUUAUGCCAACUUUUUUUUUAUAUAAGUGUUUACUCAAAAGUUUGUUUGAUUCGAUCAUAGUAAGAAAUUUCCAACAGGUUUGAUCAAUAGAAAAUUUCCUAUGAAAUGUGGUUCAAAGAAAUUCUAAGAAAAAUAUCUAUAAAUUCAAUCCUACAAAUCAAACAACAAAGAUAGCAAAAUUUCCUAAGGACUUGCAUUGAAAUAUUGGAGGAUUGGAAAAGUUCCUAAGGACUUGCAUUGAAAUAUUGGAGGAUUGGAAUACUUAGAUUUUUUUUUUCCGGUGGGUUGUUUGAUUUGAAAGUUGAGUCGGGUGGGAAAUCUUUCUUUAGGGUUCUUUUGCACUGUAUUUUAUAAAAAAAGAAAUCUUUUCAUUCAAACCUUUAGUGAAGAUUCAUUUGUUUUUCCUUGAUUCAAUCAAACACAACAUUGAUGUCACCACAAUCUUGUAUUCAAAUAGGCAUGGCAUUGCAAUCCUAUUUUUCAAAUCCUACGAAUCAAAGAGAACCUAUGGAACUUUACAAGAUUACGAUGUUAACAUAGAUUGGAGUUGCAAUGAAGGAUUUUAUGUGAGAACCUAGCUUUGCUGCGAAUUAAAUCUCAAACACUAGAUUUUACGAGAGAACCCAACUUCGUAGCGGAUCAAAUGUCAAAACGCCGCCAAAGAGACGGUAUGUUUGAUACCACUCAGUCAGAUCCUUCUACGUGUGAUCGACAAUUCACCAGAAGAUACUUUCUUUUGUCCUGAUGUUGUUGCCAGAGCAAUCUGGCUUUGUAAUUAUCCAAUCUUUUGAUAACUCCUCUAGUUUGCUUUGACGAAAGACUGACAUGUGCAAAGAAACACUACUUAUACUGUUAUACAUGCCUCCAAUAGAUUAAAAAAAACUUUUACAGCCUUCCAACUUCUUUUCAACUCUUUCCUCUUUAGGUUCCCAAUGAGAAUUGCUCAGUCUUUUAACGUCCACUGGAAUUCCCUCAUAAGUUAAGGGGAGACUACCCAUGUUAAAAUCGAAAAUUUUACUAGAACAAACACUUCUUUGAGCAAAAUCUCUUACACGGUACAACUCGCUCUUAUGAAAGUUAACUUUCUGACCAUGAACUAGCUCAAAAGCACAUAAAACGAAUUUUAAGUUUUUGUCGUGGACCAGAUCAUCCUUAAAUUGACAAGCCCCCCCCCCCCCCCCUUCUGCUUAAAAAGGGAUAAAAAAAGGGAAACAUGAGUUGUUGAACUGCCAUUCGAGUCCAUGGUUUUUUUUUUCUUUUCUUUUUUCUAGAAUACACCCAAGCAGGUGUAUCAUAUAUUGAAGGAGGAUUCCGCGACGCAUUUACAUGCCCGUAGGCGCCAGUAAAGCGACCAUUCUAUUACAUUCCACAAGGGAUCCACUAGACUAGAAAGCGAAAAAUCUACACUAUGAAAAAGACCCGCGCUCGACCAUGCCCUUCCUUCACUGUUGAUCAUUUGUUGUAUCUUUCUAGCACUCGGAGUUGCUGCAUCGAACACCACCGAGUUCCUGUGCUUCCAGAGGCACCAGCAGAUGAGAGUAAUGCUAGUGUUGAGGUUCCUCUUCUCUUUCUUGCCUUGCACCACAAGGCUCGUCCACCAUUCGGCAAGAGAGGCUUGCGGAGUAGGGAGCCAGCAAAGCCUGUUCCAGCCCCGCAGCGAGGUCGACCACACUUCCCGAGCCACGACGCAACCAAGAAGAAGAUGGUCAAUGGUCUCAUUGCUUUGAUCACACAAAGGACAGCGUGCCGGGUGGGGCAAACCCCGCUUCGAAAGCCUAUCCGCCGUCCAACAACUAUUUUUUAGAGCCAACCACAUGAAUGUCUUGCACUUAGUUGGCGCCUUGGAGGACCAGACCUCAGUAGCCCCCGCAGCAAGCACACGACCCCGGAAGAAAGCCGCGUACGCAGACGAGGCCGUGUAGGUCCCAUUGUCGCUCCAUUUCCAAUGGAAACGAUCAUCAUCGUAUGAAAGAAUCACCUCAGCCACGCGGUCAUGAACCACCAGAAGAUCCACAAGCGCCUGAAAGCAGAGCUCCGGGUGGAUGGCCCGAAGCCAACCAUUGGCAUGCAAAGCCUCGGCCACAGAAAGCCUGGAUGCCCUACGCAAGAUCUCCGAUAGCAGCGUAGGCGCCAAAUCCGCAAGUGAACGCCCCUCCGGUAGCCAAGGAUCAUACCAAAAAUGUAGAGCUUCACCAUUCCCCCUUGCCACCUCAAUCGCCGCCUCACAAAGUGCCCUGGCCUGUUCCGGGAUUUGGAUGUUGAAUUCAGCCCAUGGACGCGUCGGGUCCACAUGACAUAGCCACCCCCAUCGUGUUCUGAGUGCAAGAUUGAGAAGCUUCAGAUUAGGGAUGCCUAAACCACCAAUCUUGCGAGGGGAACUGCCUUUCCACAAGAACACACGACAUAUCUUCUCUAUGCCCGCAAUGGUCUUCAUAGGAAGGUUGAGAGACAUCAUGACAUAGACCGGCGUAGCUGAGAGGGUCGAUCUAACAAGGGUGAGCCAUCCCCCAAGAGUAAGCAUAGGGACGGACCAUGUCUGGAGCUUAUUCGCCACCUUGUCCACCAUAGAUGAAAGUUGAGUUGCCGUUGGCUUCCGAAGCCCGAGAGGUAAGCCCAAUUAGGUACAUGGGAAAGGCCCCACCUCACAACCAAGCGUGCAAGAUCAAUGGUCUUGACAAAGAUAUUUAAAGACUUGUAUUGUGCUACCGAAUUCAUAUUAGCAAACGUGCAAGAUCAAUAUUUGUUUAGUUUUUUUUUGACAACAUAGAUCAAUAUUUGUUUAGACACGAUGAUUGAGCGAGUACAUGCGAUGUAACAGUCGGAAAAGGUUUCACACAAGUUCAUUUGUCAGUGAACAAAUUAUCUGCAUUGCAUUUUUUCAUAACAAUACAUGGACGUCUGUUCCGUUGGGCUCAAAAAGAAUUAAACAAAAAAUAAACGUCGACAGCAGGAUUCGAACCUGCGCAGGCAAAGCCCAACAGAUUUCGAGUCUGUCUCCUUAACCACUCGGACAUAUCGACCCACUUGGUCUUUUAUUCCUCUCAGUAUUUAUAUACAUGACUAUUCUGUUAACAGAUUGAUGAUUUUUUGUCAUUGCUAUAACCAUCUUUUACAAAAUAUUUGAAGCUUGCAGCAGAACAUGUAAACAUUUAUUCCUUUGAGAUGCGGGGUCAUAAUUUCUGCAAAAAAAAAACUCUGUACCCUUUUCGCAAGAAAAGAAGGAGAGCUAUCACCUGAGUACUCCGUAUUUAGCAUUCUUUAAUUUACAUACUAGUGCUCUAGAAAAAAGUUGCAUAUAGCUUCGUUGCCAAAUCAGACGGGCACUCGGGGCUGCAAUUGCAUGAUGGGCAAUUUGCCAUGCAUUAUUUGACGGAGUACCAACACGGAACACCCGGAAGCGUGAGGCAGCAGGUGCAUUCUUCAGUCAUUCAGUCCAGCCUUCCCUUUCGGUUUCUCCGCUGCCCUUGCCUAGCUAGGCUAAGCUUGUUUAGCUCGUAACAUUUCAAUGUUAAGUUUGCUAUCUUCCAAUGAGGAGUCCACUGUAGUAGCAUUAGCAGUUGGGUUGGUAUGGCCAUCUUGGUAGCUUCUUCUAGCCUCGGGACUUUACAAUCGAAUGCAUCAAUGCAAGAACAUAUGCAUUGUGAUGUACUAACAAGGAUCGAUAAGUAGAAUGAAAUCUGUGUCUUGUUCCAUUAAAUGAUGAUUAUAUUUAUACAAGAGGAAGGGACACCAAUACAUGCAUUGGUGUCCCAAGUUUUGGGCAUUCGCAUCCCGACACAGACGGUUACAACAUUGACUGCCUAAUUAACCAUUAAUUAACUAAUAAUUAAUUCUAAUUGAUCAUAAAUAAUUAUUCUCAACACUCUCCCUUGAUCAAUUUGCUCCAUUGAUUUGUAUAUUCUUGAAUCAUCAUGAAAUCUUGUAAUUUCCUCUAAAAACCCUAUGGGAAAAAUAUUGAGGAAAUAAUAAUAAUAUCGAUAUGUUAUGAAAAACUCCCUUUAAAAAUCCAAUGGGAAAAAUAAGGAGAAAAUGGUAUAACAUAUUUUGAAUAUUGUCUCUUGAUAAUUCAUAUUGAAUUAUAUGAACAAUAAAUAUGCCUUGUAUAUUAUCCACAAAAAUCCCGGUGGGGAAAAUAUAAAAUAUGACAUAUAAUCUUAUGUUAAUAUUGUCUCAUUAAAAACCUUUUAUGAGAAACUAGUGAGUAAAACUCAUAAUAGGAAAAGAGUGCAAUAUGAUGUUAUGAACAGGUUAAAUUCAGGUGAAUACUCCCCCUAAUGCUUGCAAAUUUUUAAGUCGUCGCAUACCAAUCCCAUGUACACAUUUUUUAAAUGUGGAGUUGGGUAAGGACUUAGUGAACAAAUCUGCGAGGUUAUCACGUGAUUUGGUUUGCAAGAUAUUUUUCUCCCCAUUUUGUUGUAAUUCAUGAGGAUAGAAUAGUUUAGGUGCAAUAUGUUUAGUUAUAUUGCUUUUUAUAUAACCUGUUUGCAUCUGGGCAACACAAGCAGAAUUAUCCUCAUAGAUAAUUGUUGGUGAUUCAAUCAAACCAAUACCACAUGAUUGUUGUAUAUGGUUAAUCAUUUUGCAUAGCUAUACACUUUCACGAGAUGCUUCGUAUAAAGCUAUUAUUUCUGAAUGAUUUGUGGAUGUAGCCACUAUAGUUUGCUUAGAAGGCUUCCACGAUAUGACUGUCCCACCGUGUAGGAACACGAAACAGGUCUGGGAUCUGGCAUUCUGGGGAUCAGAUAAAUAGCCAGCAUCAGUGUAUCCGAUUAAUUCAGAGUCUUGGUUUUCCUGUUGGAAAUAUAGACAUAGAUCUUUAGUGCCUUGUAGGUAGCGAAAAACUUGCUUGACUCCUACCAAUGACGUUUUGUUGGAGCUGCGCUGUGUCUAGCUAGUAAAUUUACAGCAAAUGCAAUAUCUGGCCGGGUGCAAUUUGCUAGGUACAUUAAUGCUCCAAUGACACUAAGAUAUGGGAAUUCAAAUCCUAAAAUUUCCUCUCCAUCACCUUUUGGUCUGAAUGGAUCUUUCUCUACGUCUAGAGAUCAAACUACCAUAGGUGUUUUGCAUUGAUAGGAUUUGUCCAUGUUAAAUUUCUCUAAGAUUUUCUGGAUAUAUGUAGCUUGGUGAAC
rnacentral:lncRNA from 1 species